rnacentral:rRNA from 1 species
GAAAUUUUGCGGAGAUGAACUAACCAGGAUUCCCUCAGUAGCUGCGAGCGAACAGGGAAGAGCCCAGCACCGAAUCCCGCGGCCGAUAUCGGGCGCCGGGAAAUGUGGUGUUAGGGAGGAUCCGUUUAUCCCGAGGUCGUGCGGCGCGUCCAAGUCCUUCUUGAACGGGGCCACAGCCCAUAGAGGGUGCCAGGCCCGUAGCGACCGUCGCACAUCGCGGGAGGAUCUCUCCUCAGAGUCGGGUUGCUUGAGAGUGCAGCCCUAAGUGGGUGGUAAACUCCAUCUAAGGCUAAAUAUGACCACGAGACCGAUAGCGAACAAGUACCGUGAGGGAAAGUUGAAAAGCACUUUGAAGAGAGAGUUCAAGAGUACGUGAAACCGUUCAGGGGUAAACCUGAGAAACCCGAAAGGUCGAAGGGGGAAAUUCAUUCGCGUCUCGACCGUCGGAGCGGAGCGUUCGAGUGACGGACGGCGCACGCGCCGUCUGCGCCGUACGUUUCGCGUUCCGACGUCGAACGCGUGCACUUUUCCCCCGGUAGGACGUCACGAUCCGUUGGGUGUCGGUCUAAGGCCCGCGGUGGAGACCGGGCGCGCGUCUCGGCGCAGCGCCCGGACCCGCGGUGUCCCGGCCGACCCGCUCGACGGUAUACAGAUGGCGCGGGGCCGCUACACUUCAGUUAGCGUUCGGCCCGCGGCAAGCGCGUCAGCCGGCGGCGGCGAUCGGACCUGGCGCCGGUCCUGCCCCCUGACGACUGUUGGCCGCGGUGCUCUCGAACAGACCCCGUCACGAAACGCCGAUCUGUGACGCUAUAGCUUUGGGUACUUUCAGGACCCGUCUUGAACCGCCC